GCCACCAUAGUCUAGAGGUUAGGACGCCGGCCUCUCACGCCGGAAACUGGAGUUCAAUUCUCCAUGGUGGUGCCA
rnacentral:tRNA from 1 species